GACGAACGCUGGCGGCGUGCUUAACACAUGCAAGUCGAACGGAAAGGCCCUGUUGCUGUGUUGUGCUCGAGUGGCGAACGGGUAACUAACAUGUGAGUUACCUGCUCUUGACGAUGGGCUAACUUCAGGUAACUGUGGUUAAUCCCGGAUUGGAACUUCUGCAGCAUGGUGGUGGUUGGAAAGCUUCGGUGGAUGGGGAUGGACUCGCGGCUUAUCUGCUUGUUGGUGUGGUAGUGGAUUACCAAGGCUUUGACGGGUAGUCGGCCUGAGAGGGUGACCGGCCACAUUAGGAGAGAGAUACGGGCCGGAGUACUACGGGAGGCAGGAGUGGGGUAUAAUGCACGAUGGGCGGAAGCCUGAUGCAGCAACGCCGCGUGCUGGAUGACGGCCUUCGGGUUGUAAGCCGCUUUCGCCUGUGACGAAGCGUGAGUGACGGUAAUGGGUAAAGAAGCACCGGCUAGCUACGUG
rnacentral:rRNA from 1 species